rnacentral:rRNA from 1 species
UUGCCAGACUCCUACGGGAGGCAGCAGUGAGGAAUAUUGGUCAAUGGGCGAGAGCCUGAACCAGCCAAGUCGCGUGAGGGAAGACGGUCCUAUGGAUUGUAAACCUCUUUUGCCGGGGAGCAAAAAGCGGUACGUGUACCGCAUCGAGAGUACCCGGAGAAAAAGCAUCGGCUAACUCCGUGCCAGCAGCCGCGGUAAUACGGAGGAUGCGAGCGUUAUCCGGAUUUAUUGGGUUUAAAGGGUGCGCAGGCGGAAUGUCAAGUCAGCGGUAAAAUUUCGGGGCUCAACCCCGUCGUGCCGUUGAAACUGGCGUUCUUGAAUGAGCGAGAAGUAUGCGGAAUGCGUGGUGUAGCGGUGAAAUGCAUAGAUAUCACGCAGAACUCCGAUUGCGAAGGCAGCAUACCGGCGCUCAACUGACGCUCAUGCACGAAAGCGUGGGUAUCGAACAGGAUUAGAUACCCGAGUA